rnacentral:rRNA from 1 species
AUUGAACGCUGGCGGCAUGCCUUACACAUGCAAGUCGAACGGCAGCACGGGAGCAAUCCUGGUGGCGAGUGGCGAACGGGUGAGUAAUAUAUCGGAACGUGCCCAGUCGUGGGGAUAACGUAGCGAAAGCUACGCUAAUACCGCAUACGAUCUAUGGAUGAAAGCGGGGGAUCGCAAGACCUCGCGCGAUUGGAGCGGCCGAUAUCAGAUUAGGUAGUUGGUGAGGUAAAGGCUCACCAAGCCGACGAUCUGUAGCUGGUCUGAGAGGACGACCAGCCACACUGGGACUGAGACACGGCCCAGACUCCUACGGGAGGCAGCAGUGGGGAAUUUUGGACAAUGGGCGAAAGCCUGAUCCAGCAAUGCCGCGUGAGUGAUGAAGGCCUUAGGGUUGUAAAGCUCUUUUACCCGAGAUGAUAAUGACAGUAUCGGGAGAAUAAGCUCCGGCUAACUCCGUGCCAGCAGCCGCGGUAA